CUGGACUCGGUGCAAGGCGCGAUCCGCUCCAGACAUGCAGUUCUCCUGGUGCACUAUGAGAGCUCACUGCCUCCGGCUUGGCCUGGCACCGCUGGUUCUGCUUUGCUGCCUGCCUCUGGCGCGCCCGGACCCCUGCGGCCUGAGCAUCGUGCCCAAGGACCCGGCGGUGGCGUUCGGGGGCCACGUGGUUCUGAACUGCAGCAGCUCAUGUUCCGGUCACACCCAGCUGGGCUGGGAGACGUCGGUGCUGAAGGUGCUGAAGACGGGACCCGGCUGGGCGUCCCUGAACAUCGCCAACCUCGCGGUGUGGGACCUGGAGCCCCAGUGCUACGUCUUCUCCACGGACAUCACCAAAAAAACCAGGCUCCACGUGUACCGUACGCCGAGGUUCCCCCCGCGCGCGCCCUCGCCCCUUCCCAGGGGCACGGCCCAGCGCUCCGCACGGGACAUGGGGCACGGGGAGGGGAAGGACUUUCCCAAGGACUAGAAGUCAGGGCAAAGAGUAAAACCCAGGAGUCCAGAUUCCCAGCACCCUGCUCCCACCACCCGCCCCUGGGAACGGAACCCAGGAGUCCUGGCUCUCAGCUCCCACCACAGUCCCCUCCCCCCCCAGGAACGGAACCCAGGAGUCCUGGCUCUCAGCUCCCCCCACCCGCCCCUCCCCGAGCUGGGAAUGGAACCCCGGGGUCCCGCCCCCCCCCCCCCCCCCCCCCCCCCCCCCCCCCAGGAAUGGAACCCAGGAGUCCUGGCUCCCAGGGCACCAAGCAGAGUCUUUAGAAGAAGGCAGAGCUCCUGGCCCGUUAUAUGCAGGGAGACGCUUCAGGAAGGUUCAUUCCCCUUUGUUUCCCCCUCUCCCCCCUGCCCCCCAGGAUUCUCGCCCCCCGAGAUCCACCUGGGAGCCGAGAUGGUGGCCGGUCACCAGGAGCAAAUCACCUGCAACGUCUCCAGCCUUGUGUCCGACUCCAGCCCCACCGACAUCAACGUCACCCUGAGCAGCGGGGGCAGCACACUGAACGAGAGCCGCGGCAGCCCGGCCGUGGAGUACAGCUUCGUGGCGCGGCCCACGCAGCACGGGCAGGAGAUCGUGUGCCAGGCCUGGCUCCGGGUCGGCCACCAGGUGCUGAGUGAGAGUGCCAGGGCCGCCCUGCACGUCUGGGGAUUCUCGCCCCCCGAGAUCCACCUGGGAGCCGAGAUGGUGGCCGGUCACCAGGAGCAAAUCACCUGCAACAUCUCCAGCCUUGUGUCCGACUCCAGCCCCCCCGACAUCAACGUCACCCUGAGCAGCGGGGGCAGCACACUGAACGAGAGCCGCGGCAGCCCGGCCGUGGAGUACAGCUUCGUGGCGCGGCCCACGCAGCACGGGCAGGAGAUCGUGUGCCAGGCCUGGCUCCGGGUCGGCCACCAGGUGCUGAGUGAAAGUGCCAGGGCCACCCUGCACGUCUGGGCCCUGCCCCACAGCGUGAAUGUCUCCGUGGAGCGGCCGGAGUUCGGGGUCGGCGCUAACUUCACGGUGCAGUGCAGCGCUGAGGGGAACCCCCCGCCCGAGCUGCGCUGGGAGCUGCCCUCCAAUGCCAGCGUGGAGCUGUCUGAGCACGGCCGGACGGUGACUGUGCCCUCGGCCCAGCUCGCCCACAAUGGGACCUACCGGUGCCUGGCACGGAACAAAUACGGGGCCAGCUCGGGGCACGUCGAUGUCCUCGUCAAAGGUCCCCCCAGGUCCUGGAUCGCGGUGGCCGCAGUGGUGCUGGGGGUGAUUGUGGUUCUCGGCGGCGCAGGCCUGGUAACGUGGCGGCUCGUGAGAAAACGCUUCAUGACGUCUUAGCUGCGGCCCGCGGCGGCCGCGGUCCAGGGCUUCCGCCCGCCUGCUUGCAACGGGGAGGGCGACUCAGGGAAGGGGGAAGCUCUGGGCAGUGAUGGGCCUGAACCUUUGGGUGAGGACAAGGAGGAGCCAAGAGGUGUCUGAGCCCGAGCCAUCGCCCCGGGGGACUGGUUCCAGAGGCGGGUGGGGUCACGGCUUGUUGCCAGAUGUGCCACGGCUGGUGGGCUGGGACCGAGCCAUGGAGCCAAACCGGGCUGCAGCUCUCUGGGGUAUCAAGCCCUGGUGCCUGUGUGUGUGUGUGCGUGCAUUUGUGCACGUGUGCAUGUGUGUGUGUGCAUGUGCAUGUGUGUAUGUGUGCGCGUGUACGUGUGUGUGUGUGCAUGCACAUGUGUGUGUGCGUUUGUGCACAUGUGCAUGUGUGUGCGUGCACGUGUGUGUGUGCGUGCAUUUGUGCAUGUGUGUGUGCGCGUGUGCACAUGUGUGCGUGUGCAUGUCUGGCACAACAGGGAGUGUGCAUAUUUCACCCAUUCCAAAAAGCUGAUUUUUUGAAAUUUGAAAUUGUUUCCUUUCGAACCAUGUGGAAGAAACACUUGGACAUUUCAGCUCUUUUCGGCUUUCCCCAGUUCCAGCCUUGUCCCUGUGCCCUGGCACUGUUACAUUUACAGGGAGUCCAGUCCAGACGCCCAGGUAACACCAUGCUCCCCCCGCCCCCAAUGGCUCACGUUGGUGCCGCUUGGUUUUGUUGGUCUCAAAUAAACUGUCUGCCUGGG
ensembl:lncRNA